rnacentral:tRNA from 1 species
CACCAGAGGGUGCAAUAAGA